rnacentral:lncRNA from 1 species
GGUGCUUCAUUCGGAGUAAAGUCUCAAGGAGUCUCAUUCCUGAUUUGAAGUGACCCACAUGGGUUCACAGUUCUCUCUCAGAACACGUACUCCUUUGAUUUUCUUGAAAGCCUUUGGAAAGCCUUGGGACACCUGUAGGUUCCACUGGUUACAACUACUUUUGGAAAAAUUACCCUGGAUAGAAAACUGAAAACUGGAUGAAAAGAAACCCCACAACAAGGGACAGUGCUGACUAAGGUGGAAGAGGUGGAAAUUCCUGCUGGAGAGAAAGAAAGCCACCUUUGGGAGCAGCGGAGUUUCUCAGUCAGCCAGGUGGGAGCCACCCUAAGGCAAUCAGUAUGGACUCUGUUGGAAUGUAAUGUGUCAAUUUGGUUUCAUGCCUCAUCACACUGGCAGAUAGAAGAGGGUAAUGGCUGCUUUGGGGAGUGGAGGAAGCCAAAAAGAAGGCAAAGAGUGAAGACAGAGAAACAAGAUGUCAGUGGUGGUGCUGAGAAGGAAUAGAGAGACUUUUCUUCGUGCUAAGGGCCGCAGAGGGAGGAAUCCAGCUGAGGACUACACAGAAGCAUCUGGCUCCAGGAAUAACAGAUCAAAUGGUGACGAACUCCUUCAAAAUGUGACAACUUGGACAAAAGUCUGCUUAAAUCUUUCUGGAUGCAAACGAAUUUUGCCCUUUUGUGUAGAAACUAGUCCUAGCACAGAGAGAAGGGAAUUCAAUUUGGAUCUCAAGACCCCAGAGGAAGCCCUGGAUUUACUCCUUACUGGCUGUGUGAUCUUAGGUCCCCAAGGCUUCACUGUGGAUGAAAGGAAGAAGUCAAUGCCUUUGCUCAAAGAGAAAAAAUGUUUUUCUGUUUGAUUGUUGAUGAGCAUUCCUGCCUUGAGAAAAAGAAGGCUAAUUGUGUAUGCUGGCAAAGCAUGUGUAUGCUCAUGACUGCUAGGAAUCAAGAGCCAUGAAUACGAACUUCCCAUUGCUCCCCGUUGCAUGCCAGAAGAUGUUUCACUUUGGAAUGCUCCUCCAUCUGACCCUGGGACUGGCUUUACUAAAAUGAGUGUUGGAAUGUCUACCCCCAUAAGAAAGCAUCCAGACUCACCACUUACUGGACAUAUCCUGCAGAAUUGAGGCUUUCUAGGCCUGCCCAGCUUGGUCAAUUUUUCCAUCAAGCCAGAGACAUGUGCUCAAUUUGGAAAGAAUCAGGUAAAUUACCAGGGAGGGUUUCUCACACCACAAAUACAUAUGUCCCUCAUUGCUAUGCUGUCUUGAGAAAGCAGGAGAUCAACACAUCUCUUUGAAAUUAGAAUGUUCAAGGAAAGAGAUUAAUGCCCUUGCAAGCUAAUCCAACUCAGGAAGUUAAUUCUUUCCCAUGCAAUCUAGCUAAUCCCACUUCCAUUUAGAACUUACUCUCAAGGUCCAAUGUUUGGAGUUCUACGUACGUAGAAAAGUCAUAUACUUAAACUUCUGGUGCUCAAGGAUUUUUGUCUCUUAAAGCUCUUCUGGCCCCCAAUUGUUUAACUAGUUGACAAGUAAGAUUGCUGCACAUUUCGAACAACUCACUUAUCCUUAGUCCCUAGAACAGGGAGCAGACCACAUGGGAGACCAUGUGUCUGGCACACUUACAUUAGUUGUUGUGAUGGUUAUUAGCCUGGCCUGCCAUUUGUCUCUGAUAGCCAGCUCCCUAAUUUAAAAUUCAAGAGCUGGCCAGAUUUCCAAGGACUUUCCUGGGGCCUAGGGCAGGGGAAACAAAAUCCCUAUUUUCCAAAUAGCUUCAUUUGACUACACAUUGGGUGAGUAAGAACAAAGGCCAUCAUGGAGGCUCCUCAGUUUUGCCAUGAUCAGAUAAGAAAGGGUGAAUAACUAAAUCUAAGUGACUGAGGGCUUGUCCUCCAAUAAAAUGUCUUUUUUAAAAUAUUUCUAUUUCUUUUUUUUUAAUUGAGAUAACGUUGGUUUAUAACAUAUAAAUGUCAGGUAUACAUCAUUAUUAUCAUUUUUUUGGUGAGGAAGUUUGGCCCUGAACUAACAUCUAUUGCCAAUAUUCUUCUUUUUGCUUAAGGAAGACUGUUGCUAGGCCAAAAUCUGUCCCAAUCUUACUCUAUUUUGCAUGUAGGAUGCCGCCACAGCAUGGCUUAAUGAGCAGUGUGUAGAUCCGCACCCAGGAUCCGAACUGGUGAACCCUGGGCCACCAAAGCAGAGUGUGCGACCCCAACCAUUCUUCCACAGGGCCAGCUGCUGCAUCGUUAUAUUUUGACUUCUAUAUAGACUACAUCAUGUUCACCACCAAAAGUCUAGUUUCCAUCUGUUGCUGUUCAAAUAUGCCCCUUUACCCUUUCCACCCUGUAACCAUCAGUCUAUCCUUUGUGGCUAUGAGUUUGCUUGUUGUUGUUUUCACCUUCCACAUAUGAGUGAGAUUAUAUGAUAUUUGUCUUUCUCUGUAUGACUUAUUUUUCCUAGCAUGAUACCCUCAAGUUCUAUCCAUGUUGUCACAAAUGACAAGAUUUAAUCUUUUUAAUGGCCUAUUAGUAUUCCACUGUGUGUGUGUGUGUGUGUGUGUGUGUGUGUGUGUGUGUGUAUACCAUAUUGUCUUUAUGCAUUCAUCCAUUGAUGGACAACUUAGGUUAUUUCCAAGCCUUGGCUAUUGUAAAUAAUUCUGCCAUGAACAUAGGCGUGUAUAUAUCUUUUCAAAAUAGUAUUUUUGUGUUCUUUGGAUAAAUACCCAGAUGUGGAAUAGCUGGAUCAUAUGGUAUUUCUAUUUUUAAUUUUUUGAGGACUCUCCAUACUCUUUUCCAUACUGGUUGCACCAAUUUACAUUCCCACCAUCAGUGCAUGAGGAUUCCCUUUUCUCCACAUUCUCUCCAACACUUGUUAUUUUUUGUCUUUCUAAUGGGUUAUUUUUUGUAUUUCUAAUGGGUGUGAGGUGAUAUCUCAUUGUAGUUUUGAUUUGCAUUUCCCUAAUAAUUAGUGAUGUUGAACAUUUUUUCAUGUGGCUGUUGGCCAUCUUUAUAUCUUCUUUGGAAGAAUGUGUUUUCAGAUCCUCCUCCCAUUUUUUGAUCAGGUUGUUUGUUUUUUUCUUGGAAAUAGAACAGAGAAUCCUAAAAUGUAUAUGGAACAAAAAAAGACCUUGAAUAGCUAAAACAAUCCUGAGGAAAAAGAACAAAGCUUGGGAGGCAUCACGCUCACUGAUUUCAAAGUGUACUACAAACAGCAUGGUACUAGCAAAAACACACACACACACGACAAUGGAACAGAAUUGAGAGCUCAAAAGUGAAUGUACACAUUUAUGGACAGCCAAUUUUGACAAAGGAGCCAAGAACAUAAAGUGACAGAAGGAAAGCCUCUUCAAUAAAUGGUAUUGGGAAAACUAGACAGCCACACGCAAAAGAAUGAAAGUAGACCAUUAUCUUACACCACACACAAAAAUUAACUCAAAAUCAGUUAAAGACUUGAAUGUAAGACCUAAAACUAUAAAUCUCCUAGAAGAAAACAUAGGUGGUUCACUCUUUUACAUCAGUAUUAGCAGUAUCUUUUUGAAUAUCAUCUCUCCUUAAGCAAGGGAAACAACAGAAAAAAUAAACAAAUAGGACUACAUCAAACUAAAAAGAUUCUGCACAGCAAAGGAAACCAUCAAGAAAACAAAAGGACAACCUACUAAUUAGGAGAAGAUAUUUGCAAACCAUAUAUCCCAUAAGGGGUUAAUAUCUAAAAUACAUUAAAAAAAACUCAUACAAGUCAACACCAAAAAAACAAACAACCCAAUCAAAAUGGUCUUUUUCUUUUUUUGCUGGGAAGGAUUCACCCUGAGCUAACAUCUGUUGCCAAUCUUCUUUUUUUUCUCCCUCCCUGAAGCCCCAGUACACAGUUAUAUAUCUUAGUUGUAAGUCCUUCUAGUUCUGCUAUGUGAGCUGCCACCACAGCAUGGCUACUGACAGAUGAGUGGUGUGGUUCCAUGCCCAGGAACCAGGCCUAGGCCCCCGAAGUGGUGAGCUAGAACUUUAAUGGCUAGGCCUUCAGGGCUGGCUCCAAAAUGUUUUUUAAUUCCGCCUCUUCCCCAAACCUUUGCUAGAUCUCAAUUCGCUACCUUUGAGCAGCCCAGACAGUUUGUGUUUAUUCAUUUUCACAGCUUCCUAAUUCCUUUAUUCUCUUUUCCUGCUUCCCAAGGGAUAGAUUGACUUUUCUUCUACUACUUUAAAUAUUGUAUUUCUAUUUUUUUCUUAUAAGAUCC